rnacentral:piRNA from 1 species
UGCCUCUGUACCCUACCCCAUCUCCAUGC